GAUGCGACAGCCAACGAAGAAGAUUCGGUUUGUAGGGAGCAUCCUCUUUCUCCCUGGGCUCUUAUGAAGAAAAGAGAGAUCGAUGGGUAAAACAUCCGCACGUGCCUGCCAACUCACACGACUCCAAAAUCCACUCCGUUUCCUUCUCACUUCUCUGUAACAAGCCAUCCAACGGUCUCUCCCUCUUCUAUCUUUCUUCAAUACACACAGUACCACCACCCUCAACAGGUCAAUUUCCCGAAAAAGAACAAAAUAAUAAAAAAAAUAUUAAUAUUAAUAGAUAUAAUUACGCUGUCUCUGGCACCUGCCCUCUUUGUCUUUCUCUCUCAUCCUGCCUCUCUGCAUCUGGUUUUUCGGUUGCUCUACUUCACCGUUGAUGGCGAUCUGUUAAUAAGGCGCACAUUCUGCUUAUUAUUAUUAUUUGGUCUGUUGCUAGCUAGAGGUGAUAGAUUAGAUUUGAUACCGGGGGAGGAGAGAGCAAGGGGAACAAUGCCUGCAUUGGACUCUAUCGAUUCUCUUCUCUUCUCUCUCGCCAAAGCUUUUUGUAGUCCUCUUGCUAUUUUCAUUCAGAUCCAGGGGUGUGUAAUCUGCUUAACUCUUGCAAUUGGAUGGGCUUUUGCUGCCUAUGUCAGGAAUAGGGAGAUCAAGCAAAUGAAAGAUAGCAUGAGACAUGGCAAUAGCUUUGCAUUUCUUUGUCAUGAUAUUAAUGAACUUGAGCACUCCAAUCAGGUCAAUUUGCCAAGGGUGACUGUGGUCAUGCCUCUAAAAGGUUUUGGAGAACACAAUUUACACAAUUGGAGAACUCAGAUUAUGUCACUUUAUGGUGGUCCUUUAGAAUUUCUUUUUGUGUUGGAAAGUACAGAAGACCCUGCUUACCAUGCUGUAUGUAGGUUAUUGUCAGAUUUUAAGGAUGACAUUGAUGCUAAAAUUGUUAUAGCUGGUUUGUCAACAACUUGUAGUCAGAAAAUCCACAACCAACUGGUUGGGGUAGAGAACAUGCAUAAAGACAGCAAGUAUGUAUUGUUUUUGGAUGAUGAUGUUAGGCUUCACCCUGGGACAAUAGGAGCGCUCACUGCUGAGAUGGAAAAGAAUCCCGAGAUUUUUAUUCAAACAGGAUACCCUCUUGAUCUACCUUCUGGAAGCUUAGGAAGUUACUGUAUCUAUGAAUAUCAUAUGCCUUGUUCAAUGGGCUUUGCUACUGGUGGGAGAACAUUCUUUCUAUGGGGAGGGUGCAUGAUGAUGCAUGCUGAUGAUUUUAGGCUUGACAAAUAUGGUGUGGUCUCUGAACUUAGAGAUGGUGGUUACUCUGAUGAUAUGACUCUUGCAGCUAUUGCUGGGGCUCACAAGAGGCUGAUUACAUCACCUUCAGUUGCUGUUUUUCCUCAUCCCCUUGCAAGUGAUCUUAAUUUUGGAAGGUACUGGAAUUACUUGAGGAAGCAAACAUUUGUUUUGGAAUCAUACACAUCAAAUGUUAAUUGGAUAAUGAAUCGUGCAUUGUUUUCUUCUCACUGUUAUCUAUCAUGGGGAUUUGUGGCACCAUACUUUAUGGCUGUGAUACAUGUAGCAGCUGCCCUGCAGACCUAUAUCAAAGGGUAUUCACCUGAGGAAACAAACAGUACUUCUGGUGGGUUGUUACUGGUAAGCUGCCUAGCUAUUUGCACCUUCACAGAACUUCUAUCAAUGUGGAACUUGACAAGGAUAGAAGUCCAUCUGUGCAACAUGCUAUCCCCAGAGGCACCAAAACUUUCACUUGCUACGUAUAACUGGGGCCUUGUAAGUAUUCAUUGCGCUGCUGGUGGAUAACUUUUUAUACCCUCUAUCAGCAUUUCGUUCUCAUUUUUCUCAGUCUAUCAAUUGGUCUGGUAUCAGAUAUCACUUGAGGAAUGGGAAAAUAAGCAAGAUUGAACGAAGUAGGGAUAUGGGUCCAACUUUUACCGAUUUGGGAGGAAAGCAUUUGUAUGAUAGGAAAGCAGCUCCACAAAAGAUGUCAUUUCUCAGCUCCUUGGCCAGAAGUUUGGCACAGCGGCGUCAGCCUAAGAAAUAUGAUAUCUAGAGUAAGCUUCCUCAUGCAAAAUAUUGUUAUCACUCUUCUUGCAGGUCAGACGUCUGAUUGGGCGUUAGAAGUAAAUUAUCUUUGUUUUAUUAUCAGGUUCUAUUGUAUCUCUAGGCAAAUUCAAAUUGGUUGGUGUUAGUGAUUUAGGCAUUAGGAAGUUUUGGGUCAUUCAUUUUUAUCCCUUAUUCAAUCGAUUUGAUUCUUGAGAAUCAACCCACUGUAGUCUGGGUUGAUCUUGUAAUUUGUAUUGAUUCUUGUUCUGUAAUUCUACAUAUUGUUAUAAAGCUGAAACUCAAAAUCUUAGACA